rnacentral:rRNA from 1 species
AAUAUCAAAGGUGAGCCAGUACAGGAGGGACCCGCGUCUGAAUAGCUCGUUGGUAAGGUAACGGCUUACCAAGGCGACGAUCAGUAGCCGACCAGCGAGGGUGCUCGGCCACAUUGGAACUGAGAUACGGUCCACACUCCUACGGGAGGCAGCAGUGGGGAAUAUUGCACAAUGGGCGAAAGCCUGAUGCAGCAACGCCGCGUGAGUGAUGAAGGCCUUCGGG